AUUGAACGCUGGCGGCAUGCUUUACACAUGCAAGUCGGACGGCAGCACCGAGCAUCUUGCUUCUUGUGUGGCGAGUGGCGAACGGGUGAGUAACAUAUCGGAACGUACCGAGCAGUGGGGGAUAACUAAUCGAAAGAUUAGCUACUACCGCAUAUUUUCUGAGGAAGAAAGCAGGGGACCUUUUGUCCUUGCGCUGUUUGAGCGGCCGAUAUCUGAUUAGAUGGUUGGUGGGGUAAAGUCCUACCAAGGCGACGAUCAGUAGCGGGUCUGAGAGGAUGAUCGGCCACACUGGGACGGAGACACGGACAAGAGUCCUACGGGAGGCAGCAGUGGGGAAUGUUGGACAAUGGGCGGAAGCCUGAUCCAGCGAGGCGGAGUGUCUGAAGAAGGCCUUCGGGUUGUAAAGGACUUUUGUCAGGGAAGAAAAGGGCGGGGUUAAUACCACUGGCUGAUGACGGUACCUGAAGAAUAAGCACCGGCUAACUACGUG
rnacentral:rRNA from 1 species